rnacentral:rRNA from 1 species
CCUACGGGCGGCAGCAGUGGGGAAUAUUGGGCAAUGGACGCAAGUCUGACCCAGCAACGCCGCGUGAAGGAAGAAGGCUUUCGGGUUGUAAACUUCUUUUAAGGGGGAAGAGCAGAAGACGGUACCCUUUAAUUAGCCACGGCCAACCACGGUGCAGCAGCCGCGGUAAUACGUAGGUGGCAAGGGUUGUCCGGAUUUACUGGGUGUAAAGGGGCUUCAGCCGGAGAGACAAGUCAGAUGGGAAAGCCACGGGCUCAACCCGUGAACUGCAUUUGAAACUGUUUCCCUUGAGUGUCGGAGAGGUAAUCGGAAUUCGUUGUGUAGCGGUGAAAUGCGUAGAUAUAAGGAAGAACACCAGUGGCGAAGGCGGAUUACUGGACGAUAACUGACGGUGAGGCGCGAAAGCGUGGGGAGCAAACAGGAUUAGAUACCCGUGUAGUC